rnacentral:rRNA from 1 species
CCUACGGGAGGCAGCAGUGAGGAAUAUUGGUCAAUGGGCGAAAGCCUGAACCAGCCAAGUCGCGUGAGGGAUGACGGCUCUAUGGAUCGUAAACUUCUUUUAUAAGGGAAUAAAGCGCGGCACGUGUCCUUUUUUGCAUGUACCUUAUGAAUAAGGAUCGGCUAACUCCGUGCCAGCAGCCGCGGUAAUACGGAGGAUCCGAGCGUUAUCCGGAUUUAUUGGGUUUAAAGGGUGCGUAGGUGGGCUUUUAAGUCAGGUGUGAAAGUUUGUGGCUCAACCAUAGAAUUGCCGUUGAUACUGGGAGGCUUGAGUAUGGUUGAGGUAGGCGGAAUUCGUGGUGUAGCGGUGAAAUGCUUAGAUAUCACGAAGAACCCCGAUUGCGAAGGCAGCUUACUAAGCUGUGACUGACGUUGAUGCACGAAAGCGUGGGGAUCAAACAGGAUUAGAUACCCGUGUAGUC